rnacentral:rRNA from 1 species
ACGGGCCCGCACAAGCAGCGGAGCGUGUGGUUUAAUUCGUUGCUACACGAAGAACCUUACCUGGGUUUGACAUAAUGGUGGUAGGGAUCCGAAAGGUGACCGACCUUCGGGGAGCCAUUUACAGGUGUUGCAUGGCUGUCGUCAGCUCGUGUCGUGAGAUGUUCGGUUAAGUCCGCUAACGAGCGCAACCCUCGCUGUGUGUUAUAUGUGUCACACAGGACUGCUGGUAUUAAGCCGGAGGAAGGUGGGACGACGUCAAGUCAGCAUGACCUUUAUAUCCAGGGCUACACACACGCUACAAUGGUCAGUACAAUGGGUUGCCAAGCCGCGAGGCGGAGCCAAUCCUAAAAAGCUGGCCUCAGUUCAGAUUGCAGUCUGAAACUCGACUGCAUGAAGUCGGAGUUGCUAGUAAACGCAGGUCAGCUAUACUGCGUUGAAUACGUUCCCGGGGCUU